UACGUAGGGGGCAAGCGUUUGUCCGGAUUUAUUGGGCGUAAAGAGCGUGUAGGCGGUUAUACAGGUCCGCUGUGAAAACUGGAGGCUUAACCUCCAGACGUCGGUGGAAACCGUAUGACUAGAGUCCGGAAGAGGAGAGUGGAAUUCCUGGUGUAGCGGUGAAAUGCGCAGAUAUCAGGAAGAACACCCGUGGCGAAGGCGGCUCUCUGGGGACGGUACUGACGCUGAGACGCGAAAGCGUGGGGAGCGAACAGG
rnacentral:rRNA from 1 species